rnacentral:ncRNA from 1 species
UCUUAUCAAGAGUGGUCGAGGGAACAGGCCCGAUGACGCCCGGCAACCAGACCUUAGGUUAUGGUGCUACAUCCUGCAAGAAUAAUCUUGAAAGAUGAGA